AAAGAGAGAGAGUGAGAGUUUAGAGUUCUAAGGGGGAUACAAAAGUAUUAAGUCUAGUAAAGGGUUUGGAAUUCAAAGAAGUUAGGCAUUGUGAUUCAAAGAAAAGGGUAAAACGCCCUAUGUGCUAAGAAUACAAGAAAAGCCUUAAGUUUGUCAAAGUAUAGAACCAAACCCGCUAGACUCUUAAAUCGUUUCAAAGAGAACCCCUUAGAACUUGAACCAAAAGGAGAAAAAGAAUGAGAAAAAGGGUAGAGUUAAGACAUCUAUGGGAAUGAGAUCAU
rnacentral:sRNA from 1 species